rnacentral:lncRNA from 1 species
AAGCAGCUUCGAGUCUGGAAAAUUUGUUGAAUGUACUGAGCAAUUAGAAUUGUUACCAGGAGAAAAUAUCAAUCUACUUGCUGGAGGAUCAAAAGAAAAAAUAGACAUGAAAAACCUGCUUCGUAACAUGUUAAGUCCAGAUCCAAGGGAACCUCAGAAAUCCAUUGAAGUUCAAUUGUUAAGAAGUUCUGUUUGUUUGGCAACUGCUUUAAACCCGAUAGAACAAGAUCAGAAGUGGCAGUCUAUAACUG